rnacentral:rRNA from 1 species
GCCAGACUCCUACGGGAGGCAGCAGUGGGGAAUAUUGCACAAUGGGGGAAACCCUGAUGCAGCGACGCCGCGUGAGCGAUGAAGUAUUUCGGUAUGUAAAGCUCUAUCAGCAGGGAAGAAAAUGACGGUACCUGACUAAGAAGCCCCGGCUAACUACGUGCCAGCAGCCGCGGUAAUACGUAGGGGGCAAGCGUUAUCCGGAUUUACUGGGUGUAAAGGGAGCGUAGACGGCUGUGCAAGCCAGAUGUGAAAGCCCGGGGCUCAACCCCGGGAGUGCAUUUGAAACUGUCCAGCUGGAGUGCAGGAGGGGUAAGCGGAAUUCCUAGUGUAGCGGUGAAAUGCGUAGAUAUUAGGAGGAACACCAGUGGCGAAGGCGGCUUACUGGACUGUAACUGACGUUGAGGCUCGAAAGCGUGGGGAGCAAACAGGAUUAGAUACCCCAGUACU